rnacentral:rRNA from 1 species
CACGUAGGGGGCAAGCGUUGUCCGGAUUUAUUGGGCGUAAAGAGCUCGUAGGCGGCUUAGUAAGUCGGGUGUGAAACCUCCAGGCUCAACCUGGAGACGCCACCCGAUACUGCUGUGGCUAGAGUCCGGUAGGGGAGCGUAGAAUUCCUGGUGUAGCGGUGAAAUGCGCAGAUAUCAGGAGGAACACCGAUGGCGAAGGCAGGUCUCUGGGCAUUAACUGACGCUGAGGAGCGAAAGCAUGGGGAGCGAACAGG